rnacentral:rRNA from 1 species
AAAAGCUCGUAGUUGGAUUUCUGGGAGGUGCCAAUGUCCGCCGAUGUGCGUGCGCAGCAGCGCCCUUCCAUCCUUCUGUUAACGCCUCUGGCAUUCAUUUGCUGGUGGCGGGCUCAGAUAUUUACCUUGAGAAAAUUAGAGUGUUUCAGGCAGGCUAGGCCGGAAUACAUUAGCAUGGAAUAAUGGAAUAGGACUACGGUCUCUUUGUUGGUUUGAGGGACUGCAGUAAUGAUUAAUAGGGAUAGUUGGGGGCAUUAGUAUUUAAUUGUCAGAGGUGGAAUUCUCGGAUUUGUUAAAGACUAACUUAUGCGAAAGCAUUUGCCAAGGAUGUUUUCAUUAAUCAAGAACGAAAGUUAGGGUAUCAAAGACGAUCAGUUACCGUCCUAGUCUUAACC